rnacentral:ribozyme from 1 species
UGCCCAGCAACUCCUAUUCCUAUCUCCUCGUGGUACUGGCCGGGAUACGAGCAACCUUAGGCAAGAUCGGGUAACACAUUCUGGUGAGAACUUUGGUCGUAUACUGACAGGGAAGG